GCAAGGUUCCAUUCAAAGCCCAGUGAAACCUUCUGACAGCUACAAAUGAAAAUUAAUCUGGCCUGCAGGAUCUACUUCGAACUCCAAACUACUGAAAAAAGUAAUUAGUAACAACUCAAUGCCACGUGAGAUCAGAGAUUUGCUGUGAAAGAAAGAAAAUGAGCCAACUACGUCAUGAGUUUCAAAUCAAGGAAAACAAACAGCAAGAACUGCAUCCACUUGGUUUUGCUCCCCAUGGUGAAAAACAAUUACUGAGAUAGAAUCCAACCAACAUGAGUUUAAGCAAAAUCUAAGAAGAUAAGCUGGAACAGAAGUAUUUCCUCAGCAAAAGCAUGAGAUGAGAGCAUCAUUCACGGGAGGAAAAGCCAUGGGUACACACGGCAGCAGAACCAAAUCAACUACCAAUAAAAUCUUUAUCCACUCCUAUAUAUUUCAUAGCACAAUUCUUUGGGAAAAAAAUGGCUUCUCAUACAUGUCCUUUAGGACUUAUGAUUUUUGAACUCCUAGAAGCAGUAACAUAGUUGAUGGUUUCAUUAAAAAGAGUCUCCCUCUGAAAUGUUUUAAGAGGCCAAGCAUAAAACAUUCAUUCAAAUAAGCCUCGUGACCCCUGUCAGAUGCUCUCAGCAAAAGGAAAUCUAAUAUGCUACAGAGCUCCUAAUAAAACAUUUAUGUAUGCUUUUCCAGAACAGUAUAGUACCACUUGUAAAAAUUAUUACCAAUGCAAUUUUUAUAAUACUCAGCCUGUGUAAGCCUAGGAAGA